rnacentral:misc_RNA from 1 species
GAUGAAGAACGUAGCGAAAUGCGAUAAGUAAUGUGAAUUGCAGAAUUCAGUGAAUCAUCGAAUCUUUGAACGCACAUUGCGCCCGCUGGUAUUCCGGGGGGCAUGCCUGUUCGAGCGUCAUUUCACCACUCAAGCCUCGCUUGGUAUUGGGCAACGCGGUCCGCCGCGUGCCUCAAAUCGACCGGCUGGGUCUUCUGUCCCCUAAGCGUUGUGGAAACUAUUCGCUAAAGGGUGUUCGGGAGGCUACGCCGUAAAACAACCCCAUUUCUAAGGUUGACCUCGGAUCAGGUAGGGAUACCCGCUGAACUUAAGCAUAUCAAUAAGCGGAGGA